UGAGUACGAGAUGCUACGGCAUCGAAGCAGUCUAUGUCAUACUUCCAAGAAAAGCUUGCAAUGUCAUAAACAAAUAAUGCCUGUACCAUAACCGACACAGGUGGGUAGGUAGAGUAUACUAAGGGGCGCGAGAUAACUCUCUCUAAGGAACUCGGCAAAAUGACUCCGUAACUUCGGGAGAAGGAGUGCCUUAUUUUUAUAAGGUUGCAAUAACAAGAUCCAAGCAACUGUUUACCAAAAACACAGGUCUCCGCUAAGUCGUAAGACGAUGUAUGGGGGCUGACGCCUGCCCAGUGCCAGAAGGUUAAAGAAGUUGGUUAGCAUUAGCGAAGCUGAUAACUGAAGCCCUGGUGAACGGCGGCCGUAACGAUAACGGUCCUAAGGUAGCGAAAUUCCUUGUCGGGUAAGUUCCGACCCGCACGAAAGGCGUAAUGAUUUGGAUACUGUCUCGGAGAGGGGCUCGGUGAAAUAGACUUGUCUGUGAAGAUGCGGACUACCUGCACCUGGACAGAAAGACCCUAUGAAGCUUUACUGUAACUUGAGAUUGAAAUUGGACUUUAUCUGCGCAGUAUAGGUGGGAGACGUUGAAAAUAUUCUUGCGGGAAUAUUGGAGUCAUCAGUGAGAUACCACUCUUAUAAUGUUAGAUUUCUAACUUUGUAUCAUUAUCUGGUCAAAGAACAGUUUCAGGCGGGCAGUUUGACUGGGGCGGUCGCCUCCCAAACGGUAACGGAGGCGCACAAAGGUUUCCUCUGAACGUGUAGAAAUCGUAUCUAGAGUGUAAAGGCAUAAGGAAGCUUGACUGUGAGACCUACAAGUCGAGCAGGGACGAAAGUCGGUCUUAGUGAUCUGACGGUGCUGAGUGGAAAGGCCGUCACUCAACGGAUAAAAGUUACUCUAAGGAUAACAGGCUGAUCUCCCCCAAGAGUUCACAUCGACGGGGAGGUUUGGCACCUCGAUGUCGGCUCAUCGCAUCCUGGGGCGGUAGUACGUCCCAAGGGUUGGGCUGUUCGCCCAUGAAAGCGGUACGCGAGCUGGGUUCAGAACGUCGUGAGACAGUUCGGUCCAUAUCCGGUGUAGGCGUUAAAUAUUGAGAGGAGCCUUCUUUAGUACGAGAGGACCGAGAAGGACAUACCUCUGGUGUACCAGUUAUCGUGCCAACGGUAAACGCUGGGUAGCCAUGUAUGGAGAGGAUAACCGCUGAAAGCAUCUAAGUGGGAAGCCCACCUCAAGAUA
rnacentral:rRNA from 1 species